UACGUAGGCAGCGAGCGUUGUUCGGAGUUACUGGGCGUAAAGCGUGCGUAGGCGGUUUUGUAAGUUUGGUGUGAAAUCUCCCGGCUCAACUGGGAGGGUGCGCCGAAUACUGAAUGACUAGAGUGCGGGAGAGGUGAGUGGAAUUCCUGGUGUAGCGGUGAAAUGCGUAGAUAUCAGGAGGAACACCGGUGGUGUAGACGGCUCACUGGACCGUAACUGACGCUGAGACACGAAAGCGUGGGUAGCAAACAGG
rnacentral:rRNA from 1 species